UACGUAGGCAGCAAGCGUUGUUCGGAAUUACUGGGCGUAAAGAGUGCGUAGGCGGUGCUCUAAGUCUGUUGUGAAAUCUCCCGGCUUAACUGGGAGGGUGCGGCGGAAACUGGAGUGCUUGAGGGGUGGGAGAGGUAAGCGGAAGUUCCUGGUGUAGCGGUGAAAUGCGUAGAUAUCAGGAGGAACACCUGUGGUGUAGACAGCUUACUGGACCACUUCUGACGCUGAGGCACGAAAGCGUGGGUAGCAAACAGG
rnacentral:rRNA from 1 species